GGCCGGUGGUGUAGUGGUGUAAACGAUUGAUUUCCGACUAAACGACCUGGGUUCGAAUCCCGCUGUGGCCA